rnacentral:misc_RNA from 1 species
UUUCCGUAGGUGAGCCUGCUGAAGGAUCAUUAAUGAGUUGUCAUGGGGUUCGAUGCUGGCAGCCAAUUUUUGGAUGCAUGUGCUUGCCCUAACAAUCAUCUUCCAAACACCUGUGCACAUUUUUGAGGGAGUCUUGAGUUGGUUGCCGCUCUUGGGUGAUUUUCUCACAUUCCCUUAAAUCAUUAUACGCUAUUAACAAUGUUGAACGUGCUCUGUGCCGCAAGGCUAUUAAUAUAAUACAACUUUUAACAACGGAUCUCUUGGCUCUC